AGCUUUGUGCAGUGGCAGUAUCAUAGCCAAUAAGAUUUAUCAAAGGCACAAUUAUUGCCAAUUGAAAACUUUUCCCAGUUUUCUUGCCUCCCAAGAUUGCUGUUUUCACUCAACUUUUGACUUUUCUGAAUUCUUUUCAUUCUUGCCAAAUUGGCAAUGCAUUUAAAAAG
rnacentral:snRNA from 1 species